rnacentral:rRNA from 1 species
UGGGGAAUUUUGGACAAUGGGCGAAAGCCUGACCCAGCAAUGCCGCGUGUGUGAAGAAGGCCUUCGGGUUGUAAAGCACUUUUGUCCGGAAAGAAAUGGCUCUGGUUAAUACCUGGGGUCGAUGACGGUACCGGAAGAAUAAGGACCGGCUAACUACGUGCCAGCAGCCGCGGUAAUACGUAGGGUCCAAGCGUUAAUCGGAAUUACUGGGCGUAAAGCGUGCGCAGGCGGUUGUGCAAGACCGAUGUGAAAUCCCCGAGCUUAACUUGGGAAUUGCAUUGGUGACUGCACGGCUAGAGUGUGUCAGAGGGGGGUAGAAUUCCACGUGUAGCAGUGAAAUGCGUAGAGAUGUGGAGGAAUACCGAUGGCGAAGGCAGCCCCCUGGGAUAACACUGACGCUCAUGCACGAAAGCGUGGGGAGCAAACAGG